rnacentral:rRNA from 1 species
AGAGUUUGAUCAUGGCUCAGAACGUACGCUGGCGGCACGCCUAACACAUGCAAGUCGAACGAAGUAGCAAUACUUAGUGGCAGACGGGUGAGUAACAUGUGGGUAUCUGCCCUUUGGCCUGGAAUAACACGAGGAAACUUGUGCUAAUACCGGAUAAGUCUUUACGGAGAAAGCUUUAUGCACCAUUGGAUGAGCCCGCACUUGAUUAGUUUGUUGGUGGGGUAAUGGCCUACCAAGACUGUGAUCAAUAGCUGAUUUGAGAGGAUGAUCAGCCACAUUGGGACUGAGACACGGCCCAAACUCCUACGGGAGGCAGCAGUGGGGAAUCUUGCACAAUGGAGGAAACUCUGAUGCAGCGAUGCCGCGUGAGUGAAGAAGGCCUUUGGGUUGUAAAGCUCUUUCGUCGGGGAAGAAAAUGACUGUACCCGAAUAAGAAGGUCCGGCUAACUUCGUGCCAGCAGCCGCGGUAAUACGAAGGGACCUAGCGUAGUUCGGAAUUACUGGGCUUAAAGAGUUCGUAGGUGGUUGAAAAAGUUGGUGGUGAAAUCCCAGAGCUUAACUCUGGAACUGCCAUCAAAACUUUUCAGCUAGAGUUUGAUAGAGGAAAGCAGAAUUUCUAGUGUAGAGGUGAAAUUCGUAGAUAUUAGAAAGAAUACCAAUUGCGAAGGCAGCUUUCUGGAUCAUUACUGACACCGAGGAACGAAAGCAUGGGUAGCGAAGAGGAUUAGAUACCCUCGUAGUCCAUGCCGUAAACGAUGUGUGUUAGACGUUGGAAAUUUAUUUUCAGUGUCGCAGCGAAAGCGAUAAACACACCGCCUGGGGAGUACGACCGCAAGGUUAAAACUCAAAUGAAUUGACGGGGACCCGCACAAGUAGUGGAGCAUGUGGUUUAAUUCGAAGAUACGCGCAGAACCUUACCAACACUUGACAUGUUCGUCGCGACUUUAAGAGAUUAAAGUUUUCGGUUCGGCCGGACGAAACACAGGUGCUGCAUGGCUGUCGUCAGCUCGUGUCGUGAGAUGUUGGGUUAAGUCCCGCAACGAGCGCAACCCUCACUUUUAGUUGCCAUCAUUUAGUUGGGCACUCUGAAAGAACUGCCAGUGAUAAGCUGGAGGAAGGUGGGGAUGACGUCAAGUCCUCAUGGCCCUUACGUGUUGGGCUACACACGUGCUACAAUGGUAUCUACAACAGGAAGCAAAACAGCGAUGUUAAGCAAAUCCUUAAAAGAUACCUCAGUUCGGAUUGCACUCUGCAACUCGAGUGCAUGAAGCUGGAAUUACUAGUAAUCGUGGAUCAGCGUGCCACGGUGAAUGCGUUCCCGGGUCUUGUACACACCGCCCGUCACACCAUGGGAGUUGGUUCUACCUUAAGGCAAGGUUUAAUACCCUUGACCACGGUAUAGUCAGCGACUGGGGUGAAGUCGUAACAAGGUA